GCGCGGGCCUGGCGUCUCCUCCUUGCCAUUGUCCGCCCGCCCGCGCAGCUGCCAGGCUGCCUCCCGGAUUCCCUGGGCUUUGCAAAGUCCCAUAGAAACCCGCAGGACGCUUGCAAUACUCGAGGUUAUUUUCUGCUAAUCACCCGGCCCCGUCGUCGUGAGCAUAUAUGCAAUAUCAGACCAGCAAUUACCGUCAGCCUGGCCCUGGGCAAAUGUGUUUCUGCUAAUUACACUUGUUGCAUUUGAAUGGCUUUCUUCAGCCAAGCUGCACGGCGAAACCUAGUGAACAAUAAAAGAGACCAUUUCCCCUUCCGCCCCGCCCGAAGCUGCAGAUGGCCGCCCUGUGUGGAAGCAGUAGCGCCUGAAUUAACCUUUUGUGUGCACCAAAGAAGAUGGAGUGUUUGGAAGGUGCCAGAAGGUUCCGGCAAUGGACUUUUACCGCUACGAGGUGUCGCCCGUGGCCCUGCAGCGCCUGCGCGUGGCGUUGCAGAAGCUUUCCGGCACAGGAGCCCAGAGCAUGAACGCAUUCGGCCAUGGUCCUCACCACUCUGCGAGGAGCACAGCCUCUUCUCCACCGUCCGAUAGCGUGUUCCUCCUUUCCCAGGCCUCACAGAAUGCUCUGUCUGCAUCCUCCCAGCAUUCCAUUCAUGAUGGCCGAGCUGUUCUCUAAGAGAUACUGCUUUGUCUUCCUUUUGAUCUCUCAACACAAGCACUUUUAAAAAUUCAUCCAUGGCGAAGGAGGCUUGUUCCAGCACACACCUCAAGACUCAGCCUCAACAAGUUUCCCAGACCCAAAGUUGCUUCUGCAUUUUUAGGAAUUUGUCACAGCCGUGCCGCUACUUCCCGGUGCCAAUUUUUCUCUUGUUUGAGUUGCUGUCACAAAAAUCACAUGGCGUGGGUGGCUGAAACAGCAAACAUUGAUUUCUCAGAGCUCUGGAGGCUCCCCCAUAUUUGGUGUCUGGUGGUGGGUGGCUUCCUGGUUCAUGGGUGGCAUCUUCCCCCCGUGUCCUCAUGUGGCAGACGGGGCAAGGGAGCGCUCUGGGAUCUCUUUCGUAUGGACACUAAUCCCACCUGCAUGGGCGCCGUCUUCAUGACCUAAUUACCCCCAAAGCCUUCACCUCCUAAUGCUGUCACACUGGGGAUCAGAAUUCCAGCACUUACGUUUGGGGAGGAUGUCAACAUUCAGUCUGUAUCAUAGCAUGUGUAUUCUAUGACCAUAGUGUAUCUCAUUGGUUAGUUUUUAUAUUUGAACUAAUCUUAUAUUCCUGGGAUAAGUCUUACUUGACCAUGCUGUAUAAUUCUUUUUAUAUGUUUCUGGAUUUAGUAUCUUAGUGUUUCGUUGAGAAUUUUUAUGUCCGUAUUUAUAAAGGAUAUCUCUUAAUCUUUUGAUAUCUUUGGUUUUGGUAUUAUAGUAAUACAUAACUUGUCAAAUGCAUUAGUCAGGGUUCUCUAGAAGGACAGAACUAAUAGGAUAGAUGUGUAUAUAAAGGGGAGUAUUUUAAGGAGUAUUGACUCACAAUCACAGGGUGAGGUCCCAUAAUAGGCCCUGAGGAGCAAGGAAGCCAGUCUGAGUCCUAAAGCUGAAUAACUUGAGGUCCGAGGUUCGAAGGCAGGAAGCAUCCCGCAGGGGAGUAGCGUGUAGGCUGGAAGACUAAACUACUUUUGUGUUCUUCUGCCUGCUUUUAUUCUGGCCAUGCUGGAAGCUGAUUAGAUGGUGCCCACCCACAUGCUGGAAGCUGAUUAGAUGGUGCCCACCCAGACUGAGGGUGGGUCUGCCUCUCCCAGUCCACUGACUCAAAUGUGAAUCUCCUUUGGAAAUGCCCUCACAGACACACCCAGGAUCAAUACUUUGCAUCCUUCAAUCCAAUCAGGUUGACACUCAAUAUUAACCAUCACAUCAAGUUAAUUGAAGAGUAUUCUUUCUUUAUUUUUUUUGGAAGACUGUGAAAGAAUGAUGUUAAUUCUUCCUUAAACAUUUGAAGUGAAGCUAUUGCAAAUGGAAGCCAUCUGACCAUGGGCUUUUCUUUAUGAGGUUUUAAAUUACUCAUUGAAUUUCCUUAAUUAUUAUAGGCAUAUUCAAAUUUUCUAUUUCUUCUUGAGUCAGUUUCAGUAGUUCAUGUCUUCAUAGGAAUUUGUCAAUUUCACCUAGGUUAUCUAGUUUGUUGGCAUAUGAUUACUUAUAGUAUUUCUGUAUAGUCCUUGUAAUUUUUAUGUCUGUAAGAUCAGUAAUAAUGUCUUUUCAUUCCUGAUUAUUUUUUGAGUUGCUUUCUUAGUGUUUGCUAGAAGAUUAAUAUUAUUUAAUUUUAUUAACACCAAGUUAAUAUUAAUUUAUUAAUUCAAAUUAACAUUAAGAUCUUUAUAAUAAUCUAGUUGAAUUAAUACCAACUUAAUUUUCAAACACUCUCUGUCAUUUUUUCUCUUUCCCUCCUUUGUGCUGUUAUUGUCAUGAAAAUUAUAUCUUUAUAGAUUGUAUGUUUAUCAACAUGGAUUUAUAAUUAUUGCUUUAUGUAGGUUUUUUAAAGAAAAUUAGGAGAAAAUAAAUGUUACAUACUCAAAUAUUUGUUCUGUCUUUCAUAUUUACUAAAUAAUGACCUUUACUGGUGCUGUUUAUUUCUUCAUCUGGAUACAACUCACUGUCUAAUGUCCUUUCAUUUUUGCCUAAAGUACUCCAUUUAGAACUUGCUAGGGAAGGGUUGUUGGAAAAAAUUCUCUUUGUUUUUUGUUUGGGAAUGUAUUGAUUUCUCCUUUAGUUUUGAAGGAUCGAUUUUCUGAAUAUAGAAUUCUUGGUUGAUAGACUUUUUUCUUUUAGGACUUUGAAUAUAUCAUUCCACUGCCUCUUGGCCUUCAUAGUCUCAGAUGAGAAAUUAGUUGUUAAUAUUAUUGAGGAUCAUUGCCUAUUUUCUGUUGCUUAUCACAGAAUAUCUGAAACUGGGUAAUUUAUAAAGAAAAGGAAUUUAUUUAUUACAGGUAUCUGGGCUGAGAAGUUCAAGGUUGAGGGGCAGAAUCAGGUAAGGGUCUUCUUGCUGUUGGGGACUCUCUGCAGAGUCCUGAGGUGGCACAGGGUAUCACAUGAUGAGGAGGCUGAGCAUGCUAGUGUGCUAGCUCAGGUCUCCCUUCCUCUUCUUAGAAAGUCACCAGGUCCCCUCUUGUGAUAACCCACAUGAAUUAAUUCAUUAAUUCAUGAGUGGAUUAAUCCAUUCAUGAGGGCAGAGCCCUCAUGACCCAGUUUCCUCCUCCCUCCUGAUACUCCCAAAUUAGGGAUUAAACUUCAACAUGAGUUUUGGAGGGGACAAAUAUCUAGUCCAUAACAUGUGUGACAAGUUGCUUCUCUCUUACUGCUUUCAUUAGAUUUACUUUGUCUUUGGGUUUUGAAGGUCUGAUUUUGAUGUAUCUAGGUGUGGCUGUCUUAGAGUUUAUUCUACUUGGAGUUCAUUGAGUGUCUUAGAUAUGUAGAUUCAUGUUUUCCAUCUAGUUUUGGGAAUUUUGGGUCAUUAUUUCUUCAAAUAUUCUUUCUACCUCAUUCUUCCUCUCCUACAUCUGGGACUUCCUUUACGUGUAUCUCAGUACAUUGGAUGGUCUCUCACAGGUUUCUAAUUUUUUAUUAUUCUUUUUUUUUCUGUUCCUCAGACUGGAUAAUUUCAGUUGACCUAUCCUGAAGUUUGCUGAUUCUUUCUUCUGCUGCUAAGAUCUGCUGUUGAGCUGCUGUACUGAAUUUUUCAAUUAUUUUUGAAAUAUAAUUUCUAUCUUUUUAUUCAUAUUCUCUAUUUGAUGAGACACUAUUUUCCUACUUUUAUUUAGCUCUUUAGACAUUGUUCUUACAGUUUUUGGAGCACAUUAAAAAUAGCUCAUUUAGUCUGGGCACAGUGGCUCAUGCCUAUAAUCCCAGCACUUUGG